rnacentral:rRNA from 1 species
ACCCGCUGAACUUAAGCAUAUCAAUAAGCGGAGGAAAAGAAACCAACAGGGAUUGCCCUAGUAACGGCGAGUGAAGCGGCAACAGCUCAAAUUUGAAAUCUGGUCCUCGUGGCCCGAGUUGUAAUUUGCAGAGGAUGCUUUCAGGUUUUGGUGCCUUCUGAGUUCCCUGGAACGGGACGCCAUAGAGGGUGAGAGCCCCGUAUAGUCGUGCACCAGGCCGUUGUAAAGCACCUUCGAAGAGUCGAGUAGUUUGGGAAUGCUGCUCUAAGCGGGAGGUAAACUUCUUCUAAAGCUAAAUACCGGCCAGAGACCGAUAGCGCACAAGUAGAGUGAUCGAAAGAUGAAAAGCACUUUGAAAAGAGGGUUAAACAGCACGUGAAAUUGUUGAAAGGGAAGCGUUUGUGACCAGAAUCGCGCUCGGCAGAUCAUCCGGCGUUCUCGCCGGUGCACUCUGCCGGGCCCAGGCCAGCGUCGGUUCUUUUCGGGGGGAUAAAAGCUCUGGGAAUGUGGCUCCUCCGGGAGUGUUAUAGCCCUAGGCAGAAUACCCCCGUGGGGACUGAGGUUCGCGCUCUGCAAAGACGCUGGCAUAAUGGUCACCAGCGACCCGUCUUGAAACACGG